GCCCUGUGGUUACUGGACACUGUUGUGUUGGUACAGUGAUUCAGUUAAUAGAAAUGGGCCAAAAGUAAUUCUGUGACUUAUGCAUGGGAUCUGUGAUACUUUGGCAGCUUCCAUAGCCCGGUCACAGUUACAUUU
rnacentral:snoRNA from 1 species